rnacentral:rRNA from 2 species
UUUUGGUGACUUGACGGCGGGGCAACACCUCUUCCCAUUCCGAACAGAGAAGUUAAGCCCGCUAGUACCAAUGGUAGUCCUUCGGGGCGAGAGUAGGUAGUCGCCAAAAC